rnacentral:lncRNA from 1 species
AAAAAUUCUCUUAAAAUCUCUCUUCCCACCAGGUUUCUCCCUUCAAAUCAUCCUUUUAGGAACUAAAUCUCUUUUCUUUUUCUUCUUCAUUUGGGCGGAUCAAGCUUACCCUAGCUUCUAACCUUCUUCUUCAAAUCGACGGUCUAUCUCCCCAAAAUUUUUAUUUUUCUUCUAAAUCCUUUCCACUCUACCUCUCAUUAGGUCUUCUAGGCUGUUUGCAAGUCUCUCUUAUACGAAAUGGCUUCCAAAUUGAAGCUACCACAGAGAAGAAGUCUGCUCGUGGGUUAGAAGAGGAUGUGUGCAGAAAAAGAAUGACAGCCGAGCCCUCUCCUACUCCAACUCCAGUUUCAGAUCCUGCUCCAGCU